GAGUUUGAUCCUGGCUCAGAUUGAACGCUGGCGGCAUGCCUUACACAUGCAAGUCGAACGGCAGCACGGGAGCUUGCUCCUGGUGGCGAGUGGCGAACGGGUGAGUAAUGCAUCGGAACGUAUCCUGGAGUGGGGGAUAACGUAGCGAAAGUUACGCUAAUACCGCAUAUUCUGUGAGCAGGAAAGCGGGGGACCUUCGGGCCUCGCGCUCUUGGAGCGGCCGAUGUCGGAUUAGCUAGUUGGUGAGGUAAAGGCUCACCAAGGCGACGAUCCGUAGCAGGUCUGAGAGGAUGAUCUGCCACACUGGAACUGAGACACGGUCCAGACUCCUACGGGAGGCAGCAGUGGGAAUUUUGGACAAUGGGGCAACCCUGAUCCAGCCAUGCCGCGUGAGUGAAGAAGGCCU
rnacentral:rRNA from 3 species